rnacentral:misc_RNA from 1 species
UCUCCGUUGGUGAACCAGCGGAGGGAUCAUUACUGAGUUACCGCUCUACAACCCUUUGUGAACAUACCUAACUGUUGCCUCGGCGGGCAGAGGUCCCUCGCGGAUCUCUCCCGGCAACGCCCUCACGGGCGGAGCGCCCGCCGGAGGAUACCAAACUCUAUUUUAACGACGUUUCUUCUGAGUGGCACAAGCAAAUAAUUAAAACUUUUAACAACGGAUCUCUUGGUUCUG